GUGGGGAAUAUUGGACAAUGGGCGCAAGCCUGAUCCAGCCAUGCCGCGUGAGUGAUGAAGGCCUUAGGGUUGUAAAGCUCUUUCAGUAGGGAAGAUAAUGACGGUACCUACAGAAGAAGCCCCGGCUAACUUCGUGCCAGCAGCCGCGGUAAUACGAAGGGGGCUAGCGUUGUUCGGAUUUACUGGGCGUAAAGCGCACGUAGGCGGUUUGUUAAGUCAGGGGUGAAAUCCCACAGCUCAACUGUGGAACUGCCCUUGAUACUGGCAAGCUAGAGUCCGGAAGAGGUGAGUGGAACUCCUAGUGUAGAGGUGGAAUUCGUAGAUAUUAGGAAGAACACCAGUGGCGAAGGCGGCUCACUGGUCCGGUACUGACGCUGAGGUGCGAAAGCGUGGGGAGCAAACAGGAUUAGAAACCCCUGUAGUCC
rnacentral:rRNA from 1 species